AGGAGCUGGGCACUUGGGAGCCUGAACUCUUCUCAACUCCAUGAUUUCUGAACCAGCUAUUUCACUGAACUGGGUGACUCCCAAGAGCUAGAAGACCUUAGGAACAGUAAUGCCAAUUGUCACGAAACCAUUGUGAGACUCAGGAUUUCAAAGUCAAACUAAUUCCAACUCAUGAUCUCCCAAUUCAACCCUCAGCUCUCUGGAUUUUCCCAGCUGUUGCUGCCAGUGACAAUGGGAUUUCUACAUCCUGGAAAGUAAGUCAGAGUGAAUUUCAAGCUUGAACCUCUCACCCCCAUAAGCUCACCAUGGUAUGGGAACCUAUAACACAUCCUGAUUCUACCUGACGCCGUGAGACGCAGGACAAAAGCUCACCAGUACCAAAUGUGUCAGAAGGAAGUAAUGACUAUGGAAUGGCCUAACACCCAUCAGUGAGAUGGAUGAGAUGCUCAGCUUCUUAAAGGGCUCUGUAUUCCUUGUAUUUACCUGUCUUGUCUGGUGGUGAGAAGGAUGCAAGCCUGAUGUUGGCAGAAGGACUGCAGCUGCAAAGGACUUCAAAGCUUCCAAGAAAGAAAUAGAGAUUCUUCCAGGCAUAACCCUCUACCUCUUCAUCUGCUGCUUUCUAAUCUGGAAUUUCAGAGAGCCAGUGUCAAGACCGAAUCCUUUAAGGAUCUUUUCCUUUUUACAUACCGCUUCUUUGGAGCUUACCUCUUUUAUUUUUGAGAAGAUGGACUGAGAUUGCCUCAUACCAGAGGAGCUUCUGAACAAAGCUUCAGGACAUUUUUCUCAUUUCUUUCCCUCAUUUUUCCUUUCUGGGGACCAUUCUUAUGAAAUACUUUUAAAGCAAGAAGUAGAUUCCAUUCCACAACUAGAAUCAGGAAUAGAGAUGCCAUUAAUGGGACUUAAAACCUAGAUGUUCCUGGCUAGCACACCUUAGGGUUAGACUGAUCACACAUUUGAGAUCAGGACAGAGUUGUACCCCACAAUCAGAUUAGUAUGGGCUGUAGGUUUUUUGGGGUGUUUUUUGAUUGUGGUUUGGGAGAGGAGGAGCAAGGAAGAGGAAGCUGGAGACAGCAUGGUCCUCUUCCUUCAAUCGCUUGAGUGUAUAUUGACAAAUUACUGUGUGUUCCUGCAGGGGCAGGACAUAGAUAAUUUUCUCAAUCUAUCUCAAUCUAUGGCAACUAAAAGGAUAGUUUGAUGUUUCAGACAUUUUACCUCAUAGUUGUAUGUGUGGGUUGUUCCCAGUUUUUUAAGAUUUGGUUAGGCAAGCACUUGUAUAGGAUGGGUUAGAUAGGGAUGAUCCUGCCUUCGAGCAGUGGAUUAACUAGAUGGUUUGUUGAGGUCCCUCCCAACCCAACUUUUCUAUUUCUUUGAGAAUAGGAGCAGGGGGAGUUUUUCCUAUUAGUUUCUUCUUAAUUUUAUUCUCCCAAAAAGGAAAGAGUUUUGGACCUUCUACUAUUCUGAAGUCAGAUUAGUGACUCUAUCCUCCAUAAUUUCCUUAUCAGAUAUUCAAGAGUGGUUUGUGAAUCUUGACUUGCAAAACAUACAUUUCCACAUAUCUCUCCUUGCAGCCCACAUCAGAUAUCUCAGAUUCCUGUAGGAACACCUCAUUACUAGUAUGGGAUAACAGCCUUUCUAAGCCUCAAGAAUAUUCAUCAAGGGCUUAGCAAUUAUAACAGCACAUCUAUGGUGACACAUGAUCUGCCUGUUUAACAGAACUCCUAAUACCAGAAAUGAGUUCCAAAAGUGGAAUAUGUGUGGACAAUCAUUCAAAGACAAAGGAAUAAUUACUUAUAGUAACUGUGGUUCUCCAAAAUGUGUUAUCCACAUGGUUUCUACAGCCCACUCAUCUUUCCCACUACCAGUGAAUCCUUCUCCUCUAGGAGCUUGUUUUGGUGAAGUAAUUGAAUGACAGUUGAUUGGUUCUGCCCUUCAUGACCUUUGUUACUGAGGCACAAGGACACCUAGCAUACUGGACUAAUUUUUAUGAACAUUACUUGGCCAAAAUAAUCUCACCUUGUUCAUGUGGGGAACACAUACACCAGGAAUGGGAACCAUUUUGACCACACAUCUCAAAGAGCCACAACUCGUGCAAUGUAAUAAACAAUAUUUGUAUGCUUAUUUUUGAAGUAGAACAUUUUAAAUAAUUUAAACAGAUAAACAUGCACCUCCAUUGGACCUCUAAUAACAAUAUUAGACAAUAUUAAAUAGAAUACCCUAAAUGCAUAUUAAUUAAAUUGAAUAGCUUAAAUACAUGGAUGUUAAAGACAACUGAAUUAGCUCAAAUUAGAAUGGGAGGUAGGUCCAGUGAUUUCUCUCCUAAUUUGAGUAAUUUCUUUACAUUUGUCUAAUUUACCCAACACCAACACUAUGAUAUCUCUACCUUUCUUUAAAAAAUCCAAAUUACAUUCCAAAGUAUCAAAUCUCUUAAAUGCAGCAGUAUUUUACAAUACAAGCAGGAACUCCUGAAACUUGAUGGCUUUUCCUAUUUUGCAUGGUCCUAAUUCCUGAAAAACCCAAUGACUCAGACUGGAGUCAAGAAGUAGUUGCAUUAAUUGUCUCUCCUAAAAUCAACCCCCAGCCUAACCCUGGAAGUUCUGUUGAACUUAGGAGUUGAGGUUGACUUUCUACCUCUUCCAUUUUUCAAACGUACCUAGAAUUCACCCUCACAUUGCAGGCCUGAAGCAGAAGUCCACUAUCAGCAAUCCCAUAAUUUUCUGUUGUUGACUUCUGGUGUUUCUUCACUCCACUUCUCUCUUUGCCUUAGUAGAGACAAGUCUUCAGGAGUGAGAGAUUCAUCCCUAGUAGGGCUCACAAGGUAACUUGAGAUAUUUCUUAGUGUCAUACUCCAGAAAUAAGAACUAUAAUAUGGAUGGCUUUGGUGUAUAUGAAAAGGCAUAAAUGGUACAUUGGGUCUCAUGGAGGGGUGUGCCAGGUUAAGAAGGAUCCUAUAGGCUUCCUUUAAAUAUCUCAGUAGGCAUACCCUGAAUAAGAAAAUCCCACUGACUUCAGUAGAACCAAGCUUUCAUCUACUUCAAAAAAAACCUGUAAAUUGUAUGGCUUUUAACAGAUGGUUUAGAAACUUGGUGAGUAUCAAUACCACUUAAAGUGAUACCUACUCUUUUCAACCAUUGACUAGAAAUUUGACCUAUGGAAGAGCGAAGGGAUAUUUACAAUAGUACCAUGAUGUGAUGCUUGCUUCAGAUUAACAGAUUCUGCUGUCCAUUAAGAAUUAUUUGGCACAUGGAAGAGGGUAACAAAAAGAAAAACGUGGGGAUUUGAGUCUGCAUUUAGCAACAGGUACCAUGUACUGGUAUCUAAUUUAUCCACUUUACUCUUAGAACGAGAAAUCAGAUUGAUUUUGGGCAUCUUGAGCAAGAGACACAUAUGUGUACUAUAGGAAAUUGCUUGGUAUAUAAUAGCUCCAAUUUUGCCAUAUUUGUUGUAGUGAGAGUUUUGUGGGAAGCAGGGCUUGUGGAAAUAAUUUGUACUACCUCACUGGAUACAGCCAGAUGGUACAAAAGAAUCCCAAUGGCUGUAGCCCACCAAAUAUCUCCAGUUGCUGAAGUAACUGUUAGUUUUGUCAAAUAAAUUGCCAUUUUAUUUAGUAUUCUAUAAAACUGCAGAUAUUGUAUUUCAACAGUACAGCAAUGAUCUUACCUGAAACAUUUGGUACCAUUUCAUAAGGUAUUUUUUACUGGAGUUACAAAAUUUCUUUUUAGACUGCUCUACAGUUCAGCAAAUGUUUGCCUAGGGAGGAGCAGAGUCAUGACUGCUACAUACACUUCCAGGGCAGACAUGCACACAGGUGUGUGUGUGGGUGGGGAGUUUAUAACCAAGGAAGAAUAGAGAAUGAACAGAUAAACCACACAAAGGGAGUAUGUUUGAUCUUUGUUCUAGAAUUCAACGAGAGCAAGAGCUGUGAAAAAUUACUUUCUGUUCCAUUUAAAAAGAAUCGGUCCAACCUUUCACCUAAUCCUAAUUUCCCAUUUUCUUAAACACUAUUAUGUAAAUUUCACCUUUUUAACCACAAACAAGAUUUCUCACAUACAAAGAUGCAUGCAGCCUAACUUUCCUGGUGCUCCAAUGAAGUAAUCCUUUGCUACUUAAUGUCUUUAGGGCAAGGACUUUAAUCAGUGGUAUACCUGAUAUUCUGCACGUGAGUUUAAAUUCCUGCAGUUUCGAUUAAAUUGACUUAACUGUAUGCAUUCGCAAGGUUUUCACAAGCUCAUUUGUGAGAAUUUCAUGAUUAAAAAUUCUGUAUGUUUGCUUGUCAAGGCAUAAUCAUUUUUCAUGCUGUGUCUAUGAGAUAGCUUCAAAUAGUCAGGUUUAUGAGGAAGGCAGGAGUAGAAAUGCCAUAAAAAGCAUUCACAGAGAUGACUUUGUAGCUGUGAACUCUGAUUUCCUUCUGCUUCACCUAAAAUCUUAAAGCUAUGGGUUACUGUGAGAGAAGUUUUUAGAAACAACUUAAAUCUAUCAGCUAACUAGCUCCCCCUCUUGAAACUUCAAAAAAGCUGACUUAAAACUGUAUAAUAAGUUGUAAUGAGAGGUGAGAGGAAAUAAAACUAAAUGUAGUAUUUUGU